GAACAGCAGUGCUGCAAACCCUCCAGCAGCUAAGUUGAAGCAUUGGGUUUUGGAGCAUCUUGCAACUAAAGGGAGGGGAGCAUCAAAGGUCAUGUGUUGGUGUCUUUGAGGGAGCAUCUACUCCAUGCCUCCAGCAUGGGAGGCCAAAGAAUAAAGAUCAGAUGUGGAAAGGAGAAGGCAAAGGAAUUCAAUGCUCCAAGUUCCUCACAGUUUUUCCAGAUGCAGCUGACAGAAAUGUAUUGACUUGAAGUUGUUUUGACUCAACAAAAAAAGGGAAACUCAGAAAGAAUAUGGUGGAUGCUUCAGACCUGUUAGUGGAGGAGUUUCCAGGGUUGUGCCUCUGCCACAGAGCUACUGCUGGAGCACCCAUCACCUGGAGGCUGCUGGCACACAUCCCUGCCCAUCCCUGGGCUAUCAGGGAGAGGAGGACCCAGACAACCACCCUCCUUUCAGCAAUCAGAGUGGGAAAGAGUACUUUAGUUCUGAGCACUGGUUAAUGGGAUCAGUGGAACGCCGUUUAUAUGUUUCACAUGGAAGAAGGAAUAGAGUUACAUGCCGACCUCAGACAAAAAGCAAGGUUUUCCCUGACUGUAAACCAACCAUCAUGGACACGUAUGUUGUAGCUGAGCUGCGGAUGAAAGCUAAGAGGAAGAAUGAAGUAAAGAAUAUUCAAAUGCCCUAGUUUGGGAAAAUACCCCAGCAGCGUAACACCUAUUGAUAUAAUCAGAACCAGUUCCAGCAUCCUUUGCCUGUGAAGUUCUGUUUUGUUUGCCACAUCCAAUUGCCGAACUGCCAGAACACAGCAAGUGAGGUGGGUGCUGGAGGAACUCAUAAUUUUGGGAGACUGUUUAUGCUAUCAGCGGCUGAUUGCACCAUAAAGCAAAGUAACUGUAGAGGUCUUGUUGCUCACAGCUUCAGAUAAUAUUUACAUGAAUUAUCAAUGAAUGUCUUCAGAUAUUUUGUAAAGUUGGGGAGGAAAGAAAGGCUUCUAACUGUGUGUGUAUGUGGGAUUGGAACAUAGGCAUCUCGCAUAUUGUUUUGGUGCUGAAAUGGACAUGGCUCCAAAAGGGUCUUAUUUUCCAGUUUGGAAUAUCUGUUUCUUUUGUUGGCUAUUCUGAGAAUAGUUAUCCUGAGAUUUCUAGGACUGAUUCCAUGAUAACAGUUAAAGCAAAUCUAACUCCUUUAACUCAUUUAUUACUUUUCACUAUUUGAAGACUAUGUGGCUGUACGUGGUUCUGCUGCAUGGAGGCACGCGUGGAGCCGAUCAGGAAUAGCACCCUUGUAAUAGAACCAUUACCUGUGGCAUACCUACUGCACAGCCAAAAUGUAACCCCCCUGUGACAAACAAAGUAAUAUAUGCAUAACUAGUAUAUCUGUUAUGUGUGUGUCACACCAGUCCUUAAGAAAAUACCACUUCUGACUCCACUGUAAAUAAAUAAUUUUAUUCCAUCCCAGUCACAGACGUCC